rnacentral:tRNA from 1 species
AGUUAAUGAACUUGAUAUAAGUGUAUACUUUGAAAGUAUAAAAAAGAAAAAAAUAAUUUCUAUUAACUU